GUGACGAGGGCUGAAGGGAGUGGAGAGCAGGCUGCACAGGGCCUGGGGAAGAGCCCUGGGGAAAACGGCUCCUCUCCUUUGCUGGCCCAGCCCUUUGUCCUUUGCAAGCAAAAUGGUGGAAAUCCACUCAGGGAUGUAGCGGUUUUGGCGGGAAGGUGACAAACUUGCUGUCCAUUCAGCGGCUUUGGCGGGAAGGUGACAAAGUUGCUGUCCAUUCAGUGGCUUUUGAAUUUUCAGUGCACCAGGAGCGCACGUUGAUCUGUGAGAACCGUGAGAACCUUCUGUGGCUGAUAAACAAAUGAAGAAUAUCUGGGCCUGACAGCAUUAAAAAAAAGACAGAAGAGAGGCAUCUGACACUGCUGCUCGAUUCUCAGUGCUAGCAUGAAAACACCUGGUGAAGUACCUGAGAUGUUUCUUCAUCCAGUAUGCCACAGUUUUUUAUCUGAAUGAUGAAACUGCCACCUGAGGGCGAGAGAUCUUGUUGAGGCAGGAGCUUGAGAUGGGGAACCUGCUGACCAAGAUAAGGCAGUCUCCACAGGUGCCAGUCCCACCACGUUCAGGUCAAUGUGAAGCACCUGCACUGUAUUGAAGGCCCUCCUCACUCAGAUAGUACUGGCAAGUUUUAAAGCAUGUGUACGAUGUGCCAAGGAUCUUAUGAAGACAAACAAACUACAGGAAAACCAUCUCCAAACCAACCAAACUAUUCCUCUUACUGAAUUGGUAAAAAGAGAGGACGAUUGCAGUUGUCAUCCAACUAAAAAUGCCUAAAAGCACUCAGAUGCAGUCAUAUGCUGGAUAUGAUCUGUAUUUACAUGGAUAGUUUCAAAGUGCCAGCCAGGAGUGAAAAGGCCUUAGCCCAUCAAAUGAAGAUGUCCUUGCCUGUACAGAAAAUAUGGGAUGCUAAAAGCUUUCCUGAAAAGUCAUUGAUGACAGUUCAAAGAAAAAAUACACAGAUGCUGUAAGCAGUAAAAUGCCCUCUGCUGUGCAGGAGACACUAAAAUAAACAUUCAGCCAGAAGUGACAAUGGCUCCUUUAAAAGGUGAGCAUAGUUUUAUAUUCCCUCUUGGAGACCUAAAUAGCAACCAUUUCCUACCAAAACAGCACACGAAACAAAGGCCCCAUUCAGAGGAGUAGUCAGAGUGGGCAAUGCUCUAUAGCCCUUUGUAUCCUGGAACAACACGGUUACUGAAGUGCCUCUAAAAGGCAGGGACAGGAGACUGUGUUGUUUCUGGCAUCAGCUCGAUCAACCGUCAGCUAGAGGAGAGGGUGUUACAACUGAUCUCCUCGGGAUGGACAAAUUCCCAGAAAGAGGAAGUAACCUGGGAGGUUUAGGAAAAGAUGAGAAAGGUUGUUUUCCCUUUCCUGGUCUCCUGCAGGUUGAAAGGAAAUGAGACACAUCCCAGAUCAAAUCCUGCCCAGAAUGAACAACUUGACUGCGUUAUCCUGGACACUUUAUCCCAAAACAAUCCACACUGGAGAAUGCAGUUGGUGGUGGUGGCCUCACGUGGCAUAGAAAUAGCUCAGCUCUCAGCAUAAGGGCUGAUUUUUGGAGGGUUAAUAGGUCAAAAAAAUCUAUUACUGAGAUUUACAAAAAGAAAUAUUUUUGUUGUCUUUAGUCUGCUUCCACUGCCUGCGUAGAGUGAAUUUUUUCCUUCUCAAUUUUCAUGGGAUCAAAGGCAGGUCAGUACUGAGCAUCUGGAGAUCUUGUCCAGUAUCACUGAAAGAUGAAAGCAUUUGGUAAAUAAAUUGUUAAGUGUCUGUUUUUACCGAAGUAUUAACAAGAGUACUGCCCCUAGCAUGAAUCUUACUGACACAAAAGGCUCCUUAGCUAUUAAUAUGAGUUGUCUGGCUGGCUGUGGAAGAGAGGGGGAAUUUGCUGUAGUUCACACACCUCAUCUGUUGCUAACCCCACAACAACUCAAGUAGUAUUUUUUGGCAUGGCUAUUCUCACUUUAGGCUUGCCUAGCUCGAGAGGCGAGUAGGCAAUGUGAGCUAAUUCUGGAACAAAUGUAUAACAUGAGAUGGCUAACUUUACUGAAUUACUUUACAGUACAGCAUCCUAAAUAAUAGCUCUUGUUGCAUGAGCCCAGCUUUACACAUAUUUAUUUAAAAUACUAGAGCGAGCAGACCCCUCUGCACAGGACAGUAUUAAGAGUUUGCGAGGCACAUGUAGUUGAGAGUCACGAAUAAAGAAGUGGUAAAAGUAAUUAAGGUAUUAUCUCUAUGGUAUCUGACCUUACGCUUAGAAGGGCAGAGUUUGUAUGGCUGCUGGAAUUUUUGUAGAUGACCAUAAACAGUGACUGUUGACUGGAUUAACGUGCUGCCUUGUCUUUUGCUGUCUGUUACUGAUGACCAAAAAUGGUUUGCAAUUGUGGAAUGUUGUGGUAUAUACAGUCCUGGAGCUCAGAAGCUUUAGAUGCGCUGGUAACGAUUGAAUCAGUGAGUUAAUGAGUCUGUGAGAUCUGGCAUUGGCAUCCCUUAGUUCACAGCAGUCAGUAAUAUAUAGACUCAGUGUGUAUACAUGCCGAAGCUUAAUUUGCAAUCCUAUUUAGAGUGGAAAAAAAUGCCACACUUAAAAAAAAAAAAUUGCAAACAGGGUUCUUUUCACAGUGGACAGAGAACACUGUUAAACAGAGGAAGCACAAUAUCCCUUUUCAUAGCAAGAGAUCAAAUGUCUGCAGAAGAGUUUAAUUUAUACUUCUUCAUGUGCCAGAGCUGUGUCUGAGACAUUGCAGCAUUUCAGUUCCUUCAAUCAGGUCAUAGUUUCCAGCACAGAUGAUUUCAUCCCUUUUAAAAUAGAACAAAUAGAAUAAAUGGAAUUCCACAUAAUCAUGGUAGGAGCUGGGAUUAUAGGAAAUUAAAACACAUAUUUAAAAGCAGAGGUCUGUGCGGUAAAUAAUCAUGACAUAGAGUUUGGAAAGCAGUGCUUGGUCUCUUCUCAGCAGUUAAUGGGCAACCGGGGUCUUUGGCUCAGCAGCUUUCUGUAACAUGGGGGACGUGGGUGUUUCCUAGAGGAGGAUGACGAAUGAGAGUGAUGGUGGAUAAUGUGCAGUAUCACAUUUUUAAAAGUUGCUCCCUUUCCAGAAGAUAUAUUAAAAUAAUGCCACGUGACUCUAACGUAACAUGGACAAACACUGGCUGGUGUGAAUUGGGUAUGGGCUCUAUAGUCCGUGCACUGCCACGUGGGGAGCACUGUUUUCAUUGCUUUCCCUAGUUAGGUCCUCUGUUCCUUAGCUGCUACAGAAUAUUUCACAUCUCCCUGCCACGGCUCUGCGUUGGCAGUCGGAGAAAAGGUGUUGAUGAAUUCUGUCUCAAAUUUCUGCCUGUCUGAAGAACGCCCUUAUGAAGUACCAGCAUAUAUUAUACUGAUAUCCCCCAAACAGAGAGGUAUCUGACUGCAACUUGGAAUGCUUUGAACUGGUGCUGUAAGACAAGUGGUUUGUGUAUUUAUUACAACAGGAGAAAAUGAAACUAGAAACAUGUUUUCCUUAAUUAUAGAAUUUGCCCAACACUGCUUUCGUUGUGAUCUAUGUUUGGCAUAAAAAAAGAGCUAUCAGUAACUUAUUUGUAAUAUGAAAAAAUUGCAUCAGAGCUAUUUUAUUAGGCAACAUACAAACACACAGUGAAGAUGGUCCUUGACCCUAAAGGACUGUUUUGUCUAUGUGAGUGAAUGAGACACUCAGCUAUUACAUGUAUUAUCUCCAGUCACAGAAGAAUUCAGUAGCAAGGCUGGGAAUCAUAUUCUAUUUUCUUAAGUCAUAACCCCGUGCCUUUAAAGAUAGGAUCACUCCUGUCACAUAUGUUUUAUGCAUGUGUGUACGAUAAACGUAAAUACAUUCACUUUUGUCUAGUAUAACAUUCAGGCAGGACUGAGAGUCUGUAUCUUGCAUAUUUAUAUCUUUUUUGCAUCGUGUCUCACUGUGGUAAAGAUUACACUGACAGACUAAUUCUGUUUGGGAAGGUUUCUGCUUAAAAGCAAGUAAAAGUCUGAAAGGAAAGGCAAAUUCAUCAGUGGUGAGUUGGCUGAAUCCAGUCACAUGCUAUAUAAUAUAACUUAUCCUUAGGAAUUCAUGCCUCCAAUGGGCCUGCCUACCAGAUAAGCUACAAGAUGAAAGUGAGUUGCACAAGAUUCUGUUGCCCAGAGCACGCAGUUCAGUCUCUGUUACUCCUCUGUUCAACCAGAUGCUAUACAAGAAACGACAUUCUCUCUCUUUCAAAAAGGAGUUAAUCGAAGGGAGAUACGCAGGUAAAAGUCUUAUGCAUGCCACUCUGCUAAUGCUGCUGAACAUUUCAAAAGUAUACUUUGAAGUUAUUUGUGUUGUCUCAGCUUCUCUAAAAGUUUACCCUGGAUUCCUUUAGUCGUGGGAAAUAGAACUCUCUUGCUUGAUUUUGGUGAAUGCAGCCUUCAAAAAUCACAGCAAACACAAGGCACUGGUUUGCUUUUAUAGUUCCAAGUUGAUGAAAAGACUUUUAAUGUAUUCUUGUAGGUGUAACCAUGUGUCAUAAAUAUACCCACCAACAAGAGACAAACCCUAACUCAAAAAUAACUGUUA
ensembl:lncRNA